GGAGAACACUGGACCAGUUGGUUAAUCACUUCAAAGUCUCAGCACCAUGUCCCAGGGCCUAGGAGAGUUGGAUGCUGAGGAGGAAUGCGUGCCACGGAGGCUUUGGAAGCAAUGCCCUGUAGCUAACAAAGCAGAAGGGCAAAGGAGCCAGGAACAGAUGUGACCUGUGAAGGAAGAGCAGAGGAGAGGGCCCACAUGCUUGUGAACUGGGAGAAACUGGGCAGUUCUUUGAAUGUGCGCAAUCAACUAUUGCCAUAGACUCAUACUAUCACAGUUUGCAAACAUUGACUGAGCAUUUAGAAUGCAUUGGGAACAUAAAGACUUCAAG